CCUACUGGAGGCAGCAGUAAGGAAUAUUGGUCAAUGGACGAAAGUCUGAACCAGCCAUGCCGCGUGAAGGAUUAAGGCCCUCUGGGUUGUAAACUUCUUUUAUCUGGGACGAAAAAAGGGUAUUCUUACUCACUUGACGGUACCAGAGGAAUAAGCACCGGCUAACUCCGUGCCAGCAGCCGCGGUAAUACGGAGGGUGCAAGCGUUAUCCGGAUUUACUGGGUUUAAAGGGUGCGUAGGUGGGCUUGUAAGUCAGUGGUGAAAUCUCCGGGCUUAACCCGGAAACUGCCAUUGAUACUAUAGGUCUUGAAUUAUCUGGAGGUAAGCGGAAUAUGUCAUGUAGCGGUGAAAUGCUUAGAUAUGACAUAGAACACCAAUUGCGAAGGCAGCUUACUACGGAUAUAUUGACACUGAGGCACGAAAGCGUGGGGAUCAAACAGGAUUAGAUACCCUGGUAGUCCACGCCCUAAACGAUGGAUACUCGACAUCAGCGAUACACUGUUGGUGUCUGNGNGAAGANAUAGUAUCCACCGNGGAGAGAGNGCGAGAUUAGUUAAGUACGAAGAAGUUAGACGGCGNGAGACGNGCGACGGACGACGACGAGGGAGGAGG
rnacentral:rRNA from 1 species